rnacentral:rRNA from 1 species
UACGUAGGGUGCGAGCGUUAAUCGGAAUUACUGGGCGUAAAGCGUGCGCAGGCGGUUUGCUAAGACAGGUGUGAAAUCCCCGGGCUUAACCUGGGAACUGCGCUUGUGACUGGCAGGCUAGAGUACGGCAGAGGGGGGUGGAAUUCCUGGUGUAGCAGUGAAAUGCGUAGAUAUCAGGAGGAACACCGAUGGCGAAGGCAGUCUUCCAAGCCGUUAUUGACGCUCAACUGCGAAGGUGUGGGUAUCAAACAGGAUUAGAUACCCU